GACGAACGCUGGCGGCGUGCUUAACACAUGCAAGUCGAGCGGACGGAGAACUUCGGUUCAAAGUUAGCGGCGGACGGGUGAGUAACGCGUGAACAAUCUGUCCCAGACAGGGGGAUAACAACCUGAAAAGGUUGCUAAUACCGCAUAAGACCACGUUCUCGCAUGGGAAUGGGGUAAAAGAUUUAUCGGUUUGGGGUGAGUUCGCGUCUGAUUAGCUAGUUGGUGAGGUAACGGCCCACCAAGGCGACGAUCAGUAGCCGAUCUGAGAGGAUGACCGGCCACAUUGGAACUGAGACACGGUCCAA
rnacentral:rRNA from 1 species